GACGAACGCUGGCGGCGUGCUUAACACAUGCAAGUCGAACGGAAAGGCCCUGCUUUUGUGGGGUGCUCGAGUGGCGAACGGGUGAGUAACACGUGAGUAACCUGCCCUUGACUUUGGGAUAACUUCAGGGAACUGGGGCUAAUACCGGAUAGGAGCUCCUGCUGCAUGGUGGGGGUUGGAAAGUUUCGGCGGUUGGGGAUGGACUCGCGGCUUAUCAGCUUGUUGGUGGGGUAGUGGCUUACCAAGGCUUUGACGGGUAGCCGGCCUGAGAGGGUGACCGGGCAGGCUGGGACGAAGAGAAGGGGUAGGCGGCAGCGCGACGCAGCAACGGGGGAGGGGAGAGGAUGGGCGGGGGGGUGAGAAAGGAUGCCCGCGGGGGUGAUGACGGCGUGAGGGUAAUAAAAAGAAAAGGCCUGUGCAGAAGCGUGAGUGCCGGGAAGUUAAAGAAAAGACCAGCAUAACUAGGUG
rnacentral:rRNA from 1 species